rnacentral:rRNA from 1 species
GACCCUGGCUCAGGAUGAACGCUAGCGACAGGCUUAACACAUGCAAGUCGAGGGGCAGCAUGAUUUGUAGCAAUACAGAUUGAUGGCGACCGGCGCACGGGUGAGUAACGCGUAUGCAACUUACCUAUCAGAGGGGGAUAGCCCGGCGAAAGUCGGAUUAAUACCCCAUAAAACAGGGGUCCCGCAUGGGAAUAUUUGUUAAAGAUUCAUCGCUGAUAGAUAGGCAUGCGUUCCA